AGUGUUUCAGCACAAAAUCCACCUAUAAUAAUAAAAAUGAAUCACACAAAUAAAUUAUGUAUGAUUAUAAACUAAGAUACCCUCUCCAAGAUUGUAGAUUUUUAAUUAUGUUUCAAUUGCAAUUUCUUGCAUUGAUAAUAGAGUUGAUUAUUUCAUGAGAUUAUCCGAGAAAACCCUAGUAGCAAUUUUCAAGUAAAAACAUAAGGAUAAAUUAAAAUUUUGACAGGCUUACCUUGCACCCAAGAGAGCAAUGA
rnacentral:misc_RNA from 1 species